rnacentral:lncRNA from 1 species
CGUUGUCUUCUGAAACUACAAAUUCCUGUGUCGCUCCUACUUCAAAAGACUCCAUGCUGGAUACUCUGAUCAGAUUAGCUGUUCCAUCUGCAACAAAUUAGUAUUAUCUGUCUGCCUUCCAGCCCUUCCCCUUACCUAUCCAAUUCCCUUCCUGGAAAAGCGAUCAACAUUCUUUUUUCUCAUUUAUUCAUCCCUAGAUAUUUCAUGACCCUACUGGUAAAAAUACGGAAACAAGAGAAUGUACAUUGGUCGUUUGACAUAAGAGAGAAAGGUAUUCCACCAGAGGACUCAUCCUGGCCAAAGGCACAGAGAGAACUAAGAUAUAUUUAGAAAACAGGAGUAGUGAAUAGAGCAAUAAUCCCAGCUGCUGCCUCAACUGCUGCUUCUCCUUUUCCAGAUCUGACUUCAGCCUGAGUGUCCCUUGCCUGGACUGGUCCACAUACCAGCUGUGAGGAAAUUGGAUCCUCCGAGGCCCCUUGUGCAUCCUACCUUCCCUGGACCUCUGUUACUAUUUAUUGAGCUUUGACCCCCCAACCAUCUGUUUCAGUCCUGUGGUCAGCAGUGACUGCAGAGAUUAGUCCAAGUACUGAGAGGAAGUGACUGCGGAGUGAUUGGUCAUCAAUGCUACAUCUUGUAUCAGGGAGGACAGGAGCAGACAGUGGGAAGAAUGGGGAGACGGAGGGAAGAUGAAGGAAUGCUCACUGGUGCCCAGACACGUCAUGGCUGUUACACUCUGAGAUGACCUCCACAAGACACACACUGAAAUCUUUAAAUUUGGAAUGGUAUACUGUCUGGAAUUCUCUCCAAAAUGAUAUAGGAGGAAAGAGAUGAAUGAAAAGAUACUUGAAAUAAGAUUGGCCAGAAAUUGGUAUUUCUUCCGAGUGCAUGGUAAAUGAUUCUUUAUGCUAUUCUGCCUACUUUUGUCCAUGCUGGAAAUUCUUCACACACAAAAAAAGUUUUAUAACAACGUUGUGGAAUUCUAAGCAUCUGAUGAAAGUCUCUGUAUUAGUCUAAAAGAGUAGACCAGAAGGAGGGGAAUUAAGAUGAGGGCUGUCUGAACAGCUCUGCGGGAGAGAGAGUGCCAGGGAAUGCAGGGGACAAAUAAAGGGUUGCUGAGCAGCUGCAAGGGCCAACUUGAAACUGGACAGCACGGAUUUAUAUUUGUCUUCCUGGUUCUCCCUCUAGCAGUGACCUGGGACUUUGGGAACAGAAAGAAAAAGAAAGGACAGUGGAUGAGGGAGUCCCUGAGGCAUUAACACUGUUACGAGUGGCUGCUGCCAGGGAGUGUGAAGUCAAGUACAGCUGGGAGAGUGUCUUGAUUUAGAGGUAGCAGGGGUGUGAUGGCUGCAGUCCCACUGAGGUCAAGGGUCAGGCCAUC